AGAACGAACGCUGGCGGCAUGCCUAACACAUGCAAGUCGAACGAGACCUUCGGGUCUAGUGGCGCACGGGUGCGUAACGCGUGGGAAUCUGCCCAAAGGUUCGGAAUAACUCAGGGAAACUUGAGCUAAUACCGGAUGAUGUCGCAAGACCAAAGAUUUAUUGCCUUUGGAUGAGCCCGCGUAGGAUUAGCUUGUUGGUGAGGUAAAGGCUCACCAAGGCUGCGAUCCUUAGCUGGUCUGAGAGGAUGAUCAGCCACACUGGGACUGAGACACGGCCCAGACUCCUACGGGAGGCAGCAGUGGGGAAUAUUGGACAAUGGGCGAAAGCCUGAUCCAGCAAUGCCGCGUGAGUGAUGAAGGCCCUAGGGUUGUAAAGCUCUUUUACCCGGGAAGAUAAUGACUGUACCGGGAGAAUAAGCCCCGGCUAACUCCGUGCCAGCAGCCGC
rnacentral:rRNA from 1 species